rnacentral:rRNA from 1 species
GACGAACGCUGGCGGCGUGCUUAACACAUGCAAGUCGAACGGAAAGGCCCUGCUUUUGUUGUGUUCUCGAUUGGCGAACGGGUGAGUAACACGUGAGUAACCUGCCCUUUUCUUUGUGAUAACUUCUGGUAACUGGGGCUAAUACCGGAUAUGAUCUCCUGCUGCAUGGUGGUGGUUGGAAAGUUUCGGCGGUUGGGGAUGGACUCGCGGCUUAUCAGCUUGUUGGUGGGGUAGUGGCUUACCAAGGCUUUGACGGGUAGCCGGCCUGAGAGGGUGACCGGCAACAUUGGGACUGAGAUACGGCCCAGACUGCUACGGGAGGCAGCAGUGGGGAAUAUUGCACAAUGGGCGGAAGCCUGAUGCAGCAACGCAGCGUGCGGGAUGACGGCCUUCGGGUUGUAAACCGAUUUCGCAUGUGACGAAGCGUGAGUGACGGUAAUGGGUAAAGAAGCACCGGCUAACUACGUG